GACGAACGCUGGCGGCGUGCUUAACGCAUGCAAGUCGAACGGUGAAGCGCUUGCCUUUUUGGUGGGUGUGGAUGAGUGGCGAACGGGUGAGUAACACGUGAGUAACCUGCCCUCUUCUUCUGGAUAACCUCAUGAAAGUGGGGCUAAUACGGGGUAUUCCGGGUCUGUCGCAUGGCGGGUUUGGGAAAGAUUGCGCCUUUGGGUGUUUUCGGUGGGGGAUGGGCUCGCGGCCUAUCAGCUUGUUGGUGGGGUGAUGGCCUACCAAGGCGGUGACGGGUAGCCGGCCUGAGAGGGUGGACGGCCACACUGGGACUGAGACACGGCCCAGACUCCUGCGGGAGGCAGCAGUGGGGAAUAUUGCACAAUGGGCGCAAGCCUGAUGCAGCGACGCCGCGUGAGGGAUGGAGGCCUUCGGGUUGUGAACCUCUUUCGCCAGUGAAGCAGGCCUGCUCCUGUGUGGGUGGGUUGACGGUAGCUGGAGAAGAAGCGCCGGCUAACUACGUG
rnacentral:rRNA from 1 species